rnacentral:rRNA from 1 species
AUUGAACGCUGGCGGCAUGCUUUACACAUGCAAGUCGAACGGCAGCGCGGGGGCAACCCUGGCGGCGAGUGGCGAACGGGUGAGUAAUACAUCGGAACGUACCCAGAAGUGGGGGAUAACGUAGCGAAAGUUACGCUAAUACCGCAUACGUUCUACGGAAGAAAGUGGGGGAUCGCAAGACCUCAUGCUUUUGGAGCGGCCGAUGUCUGAUUAGCUAGUUGGUGAGGUAAAGGCUCACCAAGGCGACGAUCAGUAGCUGGUCUGAGAGGACGACCAGCCACACUGGAACUGAGACACGGUCCAGACUCCUACGGGAGGCAGCAGUGGGGAAUUUUGGACAAGUGGGGCAACCCUGAUCCAGCGAAUGCCGCGUGAGUGAA